CCUACGGGAGGCAGCAGUGAGGAAUAUUGGUCAAUGGGCGAGAGCCUGAACCAGCCAAGUCGCGUGAGGGAGUACUGCCCUAUGGGUUGUAAACCUCUUUUGUCGGGGAGCAAAAGCCGGACGUGUCCGGCUGUGAGAGUACCCGAAGAAAAAGCAUCGGCUAACGCCGUGCCAGCAGCCGCGGUAAUACGGAGGAUGCGAGCGUUAUCCGGAUUUAUUGGGUUUAAAGGGUGCGCAGGCGGAUUUUUAAGUCAGCGGUAAAAUCGUGGGGCUCAACCCCAUCCAGCCGUUGAAACUGGGGAUCUAGAGUGUGCGAGAGGUAUGCGGAAUGCGUGGUGUAGCGGUGAAAUGCAUAGAUAUCACGCAGAACCCCGAUUGCGAAGGCAGCAUACCGGUGCACAACUGACGCUCAGGCACGAAAGCGUGGGUAUCGAACAGGAUUAGAUACCCUGGUAGUC
rnacentral:rRNA from 1 species